UUUUUUUUUAUUUUUUUUUUCAGUAAUUCAUUUCUCUGAUUGCUAAUCCUGGCUCUGUGGUUAAUUCCUCCUUUACUCUCCUGUGAAAAUCCCUAUCAGCAACUUGCUGAGGUUCCCUUUUGGAUUCCUCCCGUUUUGGCUUUGUUGCAGUGGCUAUCCCUGUUGGGAUGUCACUGGCCAGAGACUGCUCUGAUGUGAAAAGACACCAGGUGGGCUUCUGCUGUGCCUGGCAUGUGACGUCCCACUGCGUGCAAAUCCUGGCUCAUCUGCUUGUCUGUCUCAGCCACAAAAGGUUCCAGCCUUGUGGCAAUUUGGUGGAAAUUGUGUAAAAGGAGUGGUGGAUUUUACUUGUGUGUGCUGAAGUCUUGUAUCCUGGGAUCUUGUGCCAGAGUUACAUGAAUUGCUGCAGUAUUCUGGCUGAAGUGUGGAAUACCGUGAAUGAGGAAAUGGCCAAAAUCAUUCCUGGUAGCGUUCAGCAUAGCGCUUGCCUUUAAAUGACAGGAAUUACUCUUAGCAUUAAAUUAACUAGUACAGUAUAUCCAAACAUCUGUAAGGAAACCUUAAUGACAACACAAGGCAGCUCACUAUAAUUCUGAAGACUUAUGUAUUGUUUUCUCCUGGGAUGCUCAUGUUAGUAGCUUGGCCAUGACUUGUCCCAAGUGCAGUACUAGCAAUUUGUAAUGUAAUCUUUUGUACUUAAGUCCAGGCAAAAUGUUCAAUAUCCUACAUUGCCGAAGAGCUCUGGGAUCCAAUUUCUUUCCAAUAAACCUUCAGUUUAAAAAGAAAAGCACUUGUAGAGGUCUGCUUUGUUCUGUACAUACGAUGAAGAGCAGCUGAAAGGGAACCAACAGCAGGCUGAUCUGAAAAAGAAUUCUUGCAGUCUGUUUUCUGACCCUGAGUCCAGAACUCCAUAAAUGGUACCAUGAACACAGCAACAAAUUCACUUCUGUUUUAAGUUGCAGCUUUCUCAAAUAAGAAUUCUGUGCGGCUUCUCCCUGUUUCACCAACAUCCAAUGGGUGAGUUCUGCUUUUUCUUGGUUUAGACAUGAAGAACAUUCUCACCUGUCUCUACCCUAACAGGUUUUGCAUGCUAAUGGUUUCUGUUGGUGGGAGAACUACAGAGUUUCUGCAAAACUGAAAGCAAGCACCCGGAAUGCACUUGCACCAGUGUAUGCAGCAGGCUUGGUGAAUGCACCACAGCAAAAGUGAUGCCAGACAGGUAUCUGCUACUCUUCAGUUCUCUACUUGCACUUCUUACCCUGGUCAUCAGCCUCAGACUGAUGCAAAUGUCAAUGAACUGACGUGGACAAAGAGGUUUUAAGGUUUUAUGUGUUAGGUGUCAAUGUGUUAGAAGCUGAUACCAGCAGGUGCAACUUGCACUUUGUAGCCUCCGGUAAAGGCAUGUCUGUGUUCCUGCAGUGUUGUCUUCUGAAGCAACAAUCUAACUGCACUUGGACAAGCUCUAACUGGGCACAAGGAUAACUUUAUGCUGUCAUGAAAUUAAAGAAGGAAUAAAAAUGUAAA